UUCGUGACAUCAGUGGGACGUUUUAAUGUCUCAGCGUUUAACUUGUAUGAAGACAUGUAUUUUCCUUGCCAUAAUAAAAAAGUAUCUGUGUGUUCUCAAACUAUUAAGACUCUCUGGGGAAAAUGUAGAUGUUAGAUUUUUGUCAAAGCCUUCUCAGUGUCCAGAGGGAUUAUCAGAAGGUCUUUUCCUUUGCUCUAGUAGUAUGUUUAAUUAUAUUAAUAGAAUACUUAAGACCAAAUCAUUAGUGUAUUCCUGAGAUGUUCUUUACUUAUUAGUAUCAUGACUUUGGUUAUCAAUAUUUAUAAUUAAGAUUCAUCAUUCUACAUCUUGCUUUUAUGUGUUUUUUGUCCAGAUUUAACUUUAUGCUGACUUAAAGGAAGAAAUAUUAUAAAACAAAAACCUCUAUAUUCUACAAUCAUCUAUUGGUUUUGGAUUAUUUUCUGCUUAAGUGUAGAAGAACUAGCUGGGGCUGUCUGGGCCUGCCGUGGUAUAUUUCUGGAUUUUGCUCAUCAGGCAAGUUAGGUCCUCGAGCCCUUCUAGAGUCCAUUUUAAUGACAUUUUUAAAAAUAAAAUUAAUUCCAUCCACUUUUCAACAUAGUUGCGUAGUUUUGUAAUAUAUGCACUUCAGGUGUUUUCUUUCCUCUGUAUUUGUGGCUUUUUCUCCUUUUUCCGUUUGUAAUUGUGUGCAUUUCUCCUUUCUCCCGUGCCUAUUGAUUUAGCUUGCCAUGAGUUUUACCGGUUUAUAUUUUUAAGACAUCGGACCCUUAGACUUUGCAGUCCGAGGACCUGUCUGCAGGGUCUUGGGGGUCCCUGCGUUGACCCAGCCCUCCCAGGUGACAGCAGUGGGCCAGCACAGCAGAAGCCACAGUUGUUGCAGGUGCUUCUCCAGCCAGUGCUGGGCCCAACACACGGUUCAGCCCUUCCUCUGGGCCCUGGGAGCCUGUGGGACAAACUAGUCGGGGCAGCAUGGUGGGUUAGAUGUAGCUGGUCAUUGCACUCACGGGGACCCCAGUGAGUUGGAGAAAAGACUGACAGAAGCUUUAAGCAGAGCCCCCUGGAGGUGCACGCCUCAGGAAGGAACUCUUACAUAAUUUAACUUUUUCUCAUUCCUUCAUUUUUUAUGUGGUACAAACCCUUCCCAACCUCCCUAGACCUUCCGUCUAUCAGUGUUUCUGACCUCACCAUGGAUAGCUCCUUUUGUAAUUACUGUUUACUUCAUAUGCGUUUGACCUUCUAAUGCCAUAGCUUGUCCUGAGUUGGGGAAGGGGUCUCAAAGUUAUGGCCCCUGGGGAUGCGGCCCACAGAUUCUAUCUUUCUCAAACUCUUUGUGACGAGACGCCCCCUGUGUUUGCACACAGCCCGCUUCGGGAAUGCCACCUUUCUGCAGUGCUGCAGUUCCACACUCUUUCUUGUCUUCUCUCCACCGUCACGUGUAACAUUUUGCACUGCUUUCUAAAUUUCCUUUUUUUCUGCCAAUGGCCUUCCUACCAUUUCCUCUGCUGCUGUGUUAGAGUUCUGUGUGUUCACCUUUGAUAAAUACUUCCCAUCAACAAAUUCUGCAGGUAUGUUUUCUAAUUUUUAGUUUUCUGCUUUUAUCUUUAAUAUUUUCAUUCUAUUUUACUUUUUAAAAAUUAUUGUAUAUUUUUAAAUUUUCGUAAAAUAUACAUAACAUAAAAUUUAUCAUUUUAACCAGUUUUAAGUGUACCAUUCAGUGUCAUUAAAUACAGUCACAUUGUUGUACAGUCUUCACAACCACAUAUUCCCAGAACUCUUUUCAUCUUCCCAAAUUGAAACCCUGUCUCUAUCAAACAUCAACCACUCUUGUUUUGGUCCUUUUUUUUUUUUUUUCUUUUUUUGAGACAGAGUCUCAUUUUAUCACCCAGGCUAGAGUGCAGUGGUGCAAUCUCUGCUCACUGCAACCUCUGCCUCCUGGGUCCAAGCGAUUCUCAUGCCUCGGCCUCCAGAGUUGCUGGGAUUACCAGAGCACACCACCAAUCCCAGCUAAUUUUAUAUAUUUUUAGUAGAGAUGGGGUUUCACCACGUUGGCCAGGCUGGUCUCAAACUCCUGGCCUCAAGUGAUCUGCCUGCCUCCUCCUCCCAAAGUGCUGGAAUUACAGGCGUGAGCCACCACACCUGGCCUCCUUUUGGUCUUUAUAAAUUUGGCUAGGUACCUGAUACAAGUGGAUUCAUAUAGUAUUUGUCCUUUUGUGACUGACUUAUUUCACAUUACAUGAAAUAAGAUAUCCUCAGGAUUCAGCCAUGAUCCUUUUACUUUUUUUUUUUUUUUUUUUUUGAGAGGAAGUCUCGCACUGUCACCCAGGCUGGAGUGCAAUGGCGUCAUCUUGGCUCACUGCAACCUCCACCUCCCGAGUUCAAGCAAUUCUCCUGCCUUAGCCUCCUGAGUAGCUGGGAUUACAGGCACCCACUACCACUCCCGGUUAAUUUUUUUUUUUUUUUUUUUUUUUUGUAUUUUUAGUAGAGGUUGCACCAUGUUGGCCAGGCUGGUCUCAAACUCCUGACCUCAGUUGAUCUACCCGCCUCAGCCUCCCAAAGUGCUGGGACUACCAGCGUGAGCCACCGUGCCCAGCCAGUUCUCUUCUACUUUUAUUUUGUUGUUGUUGUUCUAAGUUAUUCAAUAGAUGCCUAAUUCAUGUGUUUCCAAUUAUUCUUAUUUAAUCAGAUAAGUAUUUUUGGCUCUGCAUUUUAUUCUGAUCAAAGCUUUAACAGCAGUCCAUACGUCUUAAUAUGCAAUGUUUUCAUUUGUAUUUUCUGGAUAUUCUAUAAGUUGAAUUGUUGUACCUUCUUCAAGCUGACUUUUUAAAUAAAGGCUAGUGAAGUGAAGCAGCAGUGGAAAUGGAAAAGGAGCAAAGAAACCUGUAACUGCUUGUAAUCAAUUCCUUGUACACCCCACUGCACUCAGACCAGCCCGAACUGAGCUUUGUUGAGUGUUUUAAAAUUUCCACAUUUUUUAACUUAAAAAUUAAUUUCUAGUUACAUUACCUUAUGCUUUAAGCAAAAUGCCUUUUGUUCUAUUUCUAAUAUUUAUAAUGUGCUGAGGUGUUUCUGAGGGGUUUGUAUGAUCAGUGCCUGUGAAUGGGUCCCUCUCUGAGAACGACCUGGGCGGGUGUGUGGGAGUUCCACCCCUGGCUUUGCUCACUGGCCUGGCUGGGGCCACGCUCCCUGUCAGCAGCAUUCCUCUUUCAAUCAUCCUUCCAUUUACCACAGGAUGUUUAACGAUUUACCGGAUUUUCAUUCUAUUUUCAAUACUUAACCUUGAAUUCACAUUUGUCUGC
rnacentral:lncRNA from 10 species